rnacentral:tRNA from 3 species
GUUCUUAUAGCUUAGUGGUAAAGCGUUAAACUGAAGAUUUAAUUACAUUGGUUCGAUUCCUUUUAAGAACA